rnacentral:rRNA from 1 species
AGAGAGAGACAUGCGCGCAUAUCAAUAAGCGGAGGAAAAGAAACUAACUAGGAUUCCCUCAGUAACGGCGAGUGAAGCGGGAAGAGCUCAAAUUUGAAAUCUUCAAGGUUUUACCUUGACGAAUUGUAGUUUAAAGAAGUGUUUUCUGUUGGAGUUUUGGUAAAAGUUCUUUGGAAUAGGACAUCAUAGAGGGUGAGAAUCCCGUAUUUGACCAUUAUUUCCAGCUUUGUGAUACACUUUCAAAGAGUCGGAUUGUUUGGGUAAUGCAGUCCAAAAUGGGUGGUAAAUUUCAUCUAAAGCUAAAUACUGGCGAGAGACCGAUAGCGAACAAGUACCGUGAGGGAAAGAUGAAAAGAACUUUGAAAAGAGAGUUAAACAGUACGUGAAAUUGUCAAAAGGGAAAGCGUUUGACACCAGUGUUGUUUUCUCGAAAAUCAAUUAAAAAAGGCAGGAUUUUGUGUUGUAUUGACUUUAUCAGCUUUCUGCACUCUUUUCUUGUCUUUUUUAAUGCACUUUUCGUUUAACAAGUCAACAUCAAUUUCUUUUGUUGUAAAAGGGUCAUUGGAAGGUGGCUUUCUUUUCGGAGAAAGUGUUUAUAGCCUUUGGCCUCUGCAAUCGGAGAGAUUGAGGUCUGCAGCGUAGAUCCUUCGGGGUUAGAUACAUUUGUGCUAAGUUAUAGCCUUUCAUAGACAACUUGUUGACUAUGAUCAGUCAUGUAGCUUACUCGCUUAUGCUAUUUUACCUACGCUUAGGAUGUUGAUGUGAUACUGCGAGCA